UUCAAUACAUCGUCAGUUCGAACCAUGGUUUUACGUGAAAGGUUACUCUUUUUAUACCUGUACAUUUCGUCUGACCUGGAUAUGGAAGCAAGACUCAAAUGACAACAUUCAUUAGCAUCUUGAAUGAAAUUCGUUGACUGCUUUUGUGUAAAUGAGAUAAUGACUUGAUGUCUCAAAUAACGUUGUACUGCUUUACUGUGCACAGGACCAAUCGAAUAUAUAUUAACCUCAGUUUUAUUGCGGAAUGCCCUUUCUUAUUAAAAACUCUCCUGAUCGCUAUCUUUUUGUAUCUGACUGUUCCAGUUGAGGUUUCGUUCAUGGAAUUUGUUGGGUAGAAGUUACCUUUGCUGGAUUUCUAGUUAAUCUGNNNNNNNNNNGUAUUUGUUUAAAGAAAUUUUCCUUAUCAGUUUGUUUUACUGGUUGUUCCAUGGGUUUCUCUUUUCCUCUAUGUAAACUUGUUCAAUACAUCGUCAGUUCGAACCAUGGUUUUACGUGAAAGGUUACUCUUUUUAUACCUGUACAUUUCGUCUGACCUGGAUAUGGAAGCAAGACUCAAAUGACAACAUUCAUUAGCAUCUUGAAUGAAAUUCGUUGACUGCUUUUGUGUAAAUGAGAUAAUGACUUGAUGUCUCAAAUAACGUUGUACUGCUUUACUGUGCACAGGACCAAUCGAAUAUAUAUUAACCUCAGUUUUAUUGCGGAAUGCCC
rnacentral:lncRNA from 1 species